AUUUAAAUAGCUUAAUAAGAGUAUAAUAUUGAAAAUAUUAAGGUAAUAUAAUUUAUUUUUAAAUA
rnacentral:tRNA from 1 species